GAUCAGAUAUAGAUAGAAAUGACAGAAGAGAGUGAGCACACAAAGCCGAAUUGUACCGAAGUGACUUGUUGUAUGAUUGAUUUGGGUGCUCACUGCUCUAUCUGUCAUCUUCAUUCUUAAUCAUCUC
rnacentral:pre_miRNA from 1 species